rnacentral:rRNA from 1 species
GAUGAACGCUGACAGAAUGCUUAACACAUGCAAGUCUUUGGCGAAGCUGUGCUCGCACAGCCUAGCCAAGGCGGACGGGUGAGUAACGCGUAAGGAACUUGCCCUGCAGUCAGGGAUAACAGACGGAAACGACUGAUAAGACCUGGUAAAGUCAGGCGGACUCAUGUCCAGCCUGAUGAAAAGAGAUGCUGCAGGAGAGCCUUGCGUCCUAUUAGCUUGUUGGUGGGGUAACGGCCCACCAAGGCGAUGAUAGGUAGCCGGCCUGAGAGGGUGGACGGCCACAAGGGGACUGAGAUACGGCCCUUACUCCUACGGGAGGCGGCAGUGGGGAAUAUUGGACAAUGGGGGCAACCCUGAUCCAGCAAUUCUGCGUGCACGAUGAAGGUUUUCGGAUUGUAAAGUGCUUUCAGCAGGGAAGAAAAAAAUGACGGUACCUGCAGAAGAAGCGACGGCUAAAUACGUG